rnacentral:rRNA from 1 species
CAUAGGUUAAUGAGGCGAACCGGGGGAACUGAAACAUCUAAGUACCCCGAGGAAAAGAAAUCAACCGAGAUUCCCCCAGUAGCGGCGAGCGAACGGGGAGCAGCCCAGAGCCUGAAUCAGUGUGUGUGUUAGUGGAAGCGUCUGGAAAGGCGCGCGAUACAGGGUGACAGCCCCGUACACAAAAAUGCACAUGCUGUGAGCUCGAUGAGUAGGGCGGGACACGUGGUAUCCUGUCUGAAUAUGGGGGGACCAUCCUCCAAGGCUAAAUACUCCUGACUGACCGAUAGUGAACCAGUACCGUGAGGGAAAGGCGAAAAGAACCCCGGCGAGGGGAGUGAAAAAGAACCUGAAACCGUGUACGUACAAGCAGUGGGAGCACGCUUAGGCGUGUGACUGCGUACCUUUUGUAUAAUGGGUCAGCGACUUAUAUUCUGUAGCAAGGUUAACCGAAUAGGGGAGCCGAAGGGAAACCGAGUCUUAACUGGGCGUUAAGUUGCAGGGUAUAGACCCGAAACCCGGUGAUCUAGCCAUGGGCAGGUUGAAGGUUGGGUAACACUAACUGGAGGACCGAACCGACUAAUGUUGAAAAAUUAGCGGAUGACUUGUGGCUGGGGGUGAAAGGCCAAUCAAACCGGGAGAUAGCUGGUUCUCCCCGAAAGCUAUUUAGGUAGCGCCUCGUGAAUUCAUCUCCGGGGGUAGAGCACUGUUUCGGCAAGGGGGUCAUCCCGACUUACCAACCCGAUGCAAACUGCGAAUACCGGAGAAUGUUAUCACGGGAGACACACGGCGGGUGCUAACGUCCGUCGUGAAGAGGGAAACAACCCAGACCGCCAGCUAAGGUCCCAAAGUCAUGGUUAAGUGGGAAACGAUGUGGGAAGGCCCAGACAGCCAGGAUGUUGGCUUAGAAGCAGCCAUCAUUUAAAGAAAGCGUAAUAGCUCACUGGUCGAGUCGGCCUGCGCGGAAGAUGUAACGGGGCUAAACCAUGCACCGAAGCUGCGGCAGCGACGCUGAUGCGUUGUUGGGUAGGGGAGCGUUCUGUAAGCCUGUGAAGGUGUGCUGUGAGGCAUGCUGGAGGUAUCAGAAGUGCGAAUGCUGACAUAAGUAACGAUAAAGCGGGUGAAAAGCCCGCUCGCCGGAAGACCAAGGGUUCCUGUCCAACGUUAAUCGGGGCAGGGUGAGUCGACCCCUAAGGCGAGGCCGAAAGGCGUAGUCGAUGGGAAACAGGUUAAUAUUCCUGUACUUGGUGUUACUGCGAAGGGGGGACGGAGAAGGCUAUGUUGGCCGGGCGACGGUUGUCCCGGUUUAAGCGUGUAGGCUGGUUUUCCAGGCAAAUCCGGAAAAUCAAGGCUGAGGCGUGAUGACGAAGCACUACGGUGCUGAAGCAACAAAUGCCCUGCUUCCAGGAAAAGCCUCUAAGCAUCAGGUAACAUCAAAUCGUACCCCAAACCGACACAGGUGGUCAGGUAGAGAAUACCAAGGCGCUUGAGAGAACUCGGGUGAAGGAACUAGGCAAAAUGGUGCCGUAACUUCGGGAGAAGGCACGCUGAUAUGUAGGUGAAGUCCCUUGCGGAUGGAGCUGAAAUCAGUCGAAGAUACCAGCUGGCUGCAACUGUUUAUUAAAAACACAGCACUGUGCAAACACGAAAGUGGACGUAUACGGUGUGACGCCUGCCCGGUGCCGGAAGGUUAAUUGAUGGGGUUAGCGGUAACGCGAAGCUCUUGAUCGAAGCCCCGGUAAACGGCGGCCGUAACUAUAACGGUCCUAAGGUAGCGAAAUUCCUUGUCGGGUAAGUUCCGACCUGCACGAAUGGCGUAAUGAUGGCCAGGCUGUCUCCACCCGAGACUCAGUGAAAUUGAACUCGCUGUGAAGAUGCAGUGUACCCGCGGCAAGACGGAAAGACCCCGUGAACCUUUACUAUAGCUUGACACUGAACAUUGAGCCUUGAUGUGUAGGAUAGGUGGGAGGCUUUGAAGUGUGGACGCCAGUCUGCAUGGAGCCGACCUUGAAAUACCACCCUUUAAUGUUUGAUGUUCUAACGUUGACCCGUAAUCCGGGUUGCGGACAGUGUCUGGUGGGUAGUUUGACUGGGGCGGUCUCCUCCUAAAGAGUAACGGAGGAGCACGAAGGUUGGCUAAUCCUGGUCGGACAUCAGGAGGUUAGUGCAAUGGCAUAAGCCAGCUUGACUGCGAGCGUGACGGCGCGAGCAGGUGCGAAAGCAGGUCAUAGUGAUCCGGUGGUUCUGAAUGGAAGGGCCAUCGCUCAACGGAUAAAAGGUACUCCGGGGAUAACAGGCUGAUACCGCCCAAGAGUUCAUAUCGACGGCGGUGUUUGGCACCUCGAUGUCGGCUCAUCACAUCCUGGGGCUGAAGUAGGUCCCAAGGGUAUGGCUGUUCGCCAUUUAAAGUGGUACGCGAGCUGGGUUUAGAACGUCGUGAGACAGUUCGGUCCCUAUCUGCCGUGGGCGCUGGAGAACUGAGGGGGGCUGCUCCUAGUACGAGAGGACCGGAGUGGACGCAUCACUGGUGUUCGGGUUGUCAUGCCAAUGGCACUGCCCGGUAGCUAAAUGCGGAAGAGAUAAGUGCUGAAAGCAUCUAAGCACGAAACUUGCCCCGAGAUGAGUUCUCCCUGACUCCUUGAGAGUCCUGAAGGAACGUUGAAGACGACGACGUUGAUAGGCCGGGUGUGUAAGCGCAGCGAUGCGUUGAGCUAACCGGUACUAAUGAACCGUGAG